rnacentral:rRNA from 1 species
CAGUCGCCGCGGUAAUACGAAGGGUGCAAGCGUUAAUCGGAAUUACUGGGCGUAAAGCGUGCGUAGGCGGUGAGUUAAGUCUGCUGUGAAAUCCCCGGGCUCAACCUGGGAAUGGCAGUGGAUACUGGCUCGCUAGAGUGUGUCAGAGGAUGGUGGAAUUCCCGGUGUAGCGGUGAAAUGCGUAGAGAUCGGGAGGAACAUCAGUGGCGAAGGCGGCCAUCUGGGACAACACUGACGCUGAGGCACGAAAGCGUGGGGAGCAAACAGGAUUAGAUACCCGCGUAGUCCCUGUCUAUUAUAC